GAUCCUGCAGCCCUUACUCAGGGCUAGAUUAUGUAUUUUCAACCAUAGCUGAAUAGUGCUUGGAGGAACCAUGGAAGAAAUUGUGACUCAGUGGCACAAUAUAUCCUGGGGCACCCCAGUUACACGUUGCAGGUCACUGGGAUUACAUCAGCCUAGCAAAAGUCAACUUAUUUUUUCGAAUCAUCACUUCUUUUUGUUGUCAAAUCACAAAGGCCACUGCCACAACCAGCACUCUUGUUGGCAGUCUUGGCAGAGGCCAAGGACUGCAUGGGCCUGGAAACAGAACCAUCAUCUCAUCCCUGCUAGAGAUGGUUCCUCCAAGGCAGCUUUGAUGAAUUGUAAAAAUUGCAUAAUUGCCUAACUUAGUUGGAGAUCCCGAGAAACAUGUGGUAUUUGGAAACAUACAAGCUGCCUGUUUGCAUACUGAGCCGGGGCAAAUGGAGAGAUUGUGAAAUCAACAAGAGGAAGAAACAUACAGCAGUGGGUGUCCAGUUUAUGAAUAAAGGCAAAGGACUGGUCUAGCAUAGCAAAGAGACACACUGAAUCUUUCACCUAGGAGGAACUGACAGUGUGCCUGUCUCAUGAAAGAAGGGUCAUGGCCUGCGUGGCUGUAAAGCGCUGCAAGGAUUUUGGAUGUGCAAUACUUUAUUAGACACAAGAGUAUCUCAUUAAUUAAGUCUACACUGUGUGUUAUGAUUUUAUAUGUAACCAUUUAUUGCCAAUACUCCUACUUGAAUCUCUGUGUGUUGUUAAAUAAACUUCUACUCGAUUUCACUACCAACAAAUCUAAGUGCCGUGAGGUAAGCGGAGCAGUGAGCUGAGAUGGAACUGAUAAGCUGGGCGUCCUGCUUCUUUGGAAGUGAUGGAUCAGUGAAUAUUGCAA